rnacentral:miRNA from 3 species
AAAGUGCUUCUCUUUGGUGGGU